rnacentral:lncRNA from 1 species
AAUUAUUUUCUAUAUAAAGGUUAGGUCCCCUCUUCUCUCCAUAUGGUUUUAUUGGCUUGCCCCAUUGAUGGCCAACACUUUUGUGAGGAGCAAGGAGAUGAAGGUCUGGCUACUAUUACAACUAUUAUUCAUAUCAACAAUAGCUUCUACAGGUAUGAAUUCGAACCAUUAAUUUAUAAUUAUAUGAUUCUUGAUUCUUAGCAUGAUUGAAAUUAACUAUUAACACAAACAUAUCUAAUAGAACACGAAACAACUGUAUAAAACGAAUGUUUUCUUCAUUCAGCUCAAGACCAGUUUCAUCAUCUGAUACAGAUUCAACAACAAUAAUUUCAGGGAUCUUCUCCAUCAGGCGACGCUCAAUGCCCAUUUUCAUCGUCAUUACAGAACUCGGACAUGAGCCACAUGCUCCUUGUAGCUUCACCUUUACAACAUUUCCAUGGCUCUUAUGGGAUCGAAAAUCUUGGGAUGGUGAUUUGAAAAACCCCCUGGCUUGUUUUGUGAUUUGUUCUCUAAGUUGUAAUUUGUGCAAAAGUGAAGGGGAAGGAAGGAGAAGACAAGAUGUUGCCUAAGGGAAUGAGGCGUCACCUGGUUGCCGGUUCGAUUGGAGUUGGAGGCAAAGCCAUUGAGGGGCCUCGCGGCGUCAAGUAGAGACAGAGGAAAGGAAUGAAAAAUUAGAGGUGUUACAUGUAUAGCUCCAUGUACAACAUUGUUGACAGCCCUCUCACAUAUAUAGGGUAGGACCCGCGAUUAAAAUAAUCAUGGCCUCACAUUUGUGAGAGG